UACGUAGGUUGCAAGCGUUGUCCGGAAUUAUUGGGCGUAAAGCGCGCGCAGGCGGUCCUUUAAGUCUGAUGUGAAAGCCCACGGCUCAACCGUGGAGGGUCAUUGGAAACUGGGGGACUUGAGUGCAGAAGAGGAGAGUGGAAUUCCACGUGUAGCGGUGAAAUGCGUAGAGAUGUGGAGGAACACCAGUGGCGAAGGCGACUCUCUGGUCUGUAACUGACGCUGAGGCGCGAAAGCGUGGGGAGCAAACAGG
rnacentral:rRNA from 1 species